rnacentral:ncRNA from 2 species
GUACACCAUGUGCGAGAGCCCGCCCCGACGUGCAAAGUUGGUCGAGGUCGGCGCCGAAGGGGCAAAUCCUCCCCGGAACCUCUCAGGCAAAAGGACCACAUGGGUAGG